CAGGAAGCCAGCCAGACUGUGCCAGGAUUGAAACUGAGAACCUGGAAACAGAGCCGUGCUGCACCUUUCUGACUUGCAGGCUGUUUCCUGUGUGAAGAGAGGCCCUGUGGGCUUGAGGAGGCGGGGCUAGAGGAAGGUACCCAACUGCUGCCGCUGGCUUUUAAGGAUGGAGGACGAGUCCUGUCUAUGGCCUUGCACAUAUGGUGUCAUCUAAUCUCUACGGGUCCGCUAAAUAGCGUAGCCUCAAGCCCUCCGCUCCCCAUCUUUCUGGCCCACGUCUUCCCUGCCCGUCUCUGGGGAGAGCACCGUCCAGGUUCACAGUGGCGCACCGUGUCAACGCUCUGGCUCUCAGUUUUGAAGGAGAAUGGCAGCUGUUGUGAUGGCUCCAACCAGAUACGGUUUGCUCGGCACCCCCGCUUACACACCCACUUUGGGUUCAGUUUCACAGUCGGGCAUCGAGAGGGCAGAGUCUUGUCCUCGUCCAUGGAGGCUGAUGGAUACAGGUCCUCUUCUGAAGACAGAGGAAGACGGAGUCACUGAAUCUUCAUUCGUCUUGGAUCCAGGAGGAGAAGCCAUCAUAAUCUUACAACGUAUCUACUGUAUUAGAGAUAUGUGUCGUAAGUCAGGAAAAGGGAGCAAGAUAAGCUGAGGUGUAGAGAAAGUUCUGUGACAGAAAAACAGCAGACGGUGACCCCUGGGGCCGUGAGCUCUCCUAGCACGGGUUUUUGGCCUGAUUUACAGUACCAGGCACGUAUUUCCUCUUGUGGAGCAGAGAGUGACUGAUUACUCCCCAUAACAUCCAAUGGCUCUAUGCCAUCCUCAGGCAUAUCUUGCCACAGCAGUGAAGUGGAAGUCUCUGGAUAUGUCAUGUGAUACAGACUCACACAGUGUUUUGCUAAGACAGACUUAUGUGGUGUUGUGUUAAGACAGAUUCAUGUGUCGUUUUGCUGAUGGUGAGGCAAGACCCACGGGAGGACGCGUGAUGUUUGGAAAGAGGAUAAAUAAGACUCAACAGACAGUGACUGUGAUUACAUGGCCAGC
rnacentral:lncRNA from 1 species